UUUCAGCUCUGGCCUUCCUGUGUGCAGUUUGCAUGUUCUCCCUGUACCUGCGUGGGUUUUCUCCGGGUACUCCGGUUUCCUCCCACAUUCCAAAAACAUGCAUGGCUGAUUGAACACUCUAAAUUGUCCCAAGGUGUGAGCGUGAGCGCGGAUGGUUGUUCGUCUGUGUGUGCCCUGCAAUUGGCUGGCAACCGAUUCAGGGUGUCCCCCGCCUACUGCCCGAAGUCAGCUGGAAUAGGCUCCUGCACCCCCCACGACCCUAGUGAGGAUCAAGCGGCUU